AUGGACAAUACAAAAUUGCCCGUGCGCGACCGCACACCUGGAAUGCUAACCACGCAGCUGAGGCAGUGAAGAAAAAGGACCUGAAGUUGUUGCGCGGUCAGAGCUCUAGCUGCGCGACCUUGCAGCGUAUGACGAGCUGAUUUUUGGACUUCAUUAUUCAAUUAGGGGUAUUUUUGUCCAGAGCUUUCUGAGACAUGUUAUAAAUAGGUCCUAAACACAUUUUAGAAAGUACUUUGACCUGCAAAGUAUUGGAGGAGCGGUGAAGAGAGGAAAGCACCGUCACUACUUUUCAUCACGAUUUGAUUUAACACAGAAGUUUGAAUCAAUCGUCAAUUAAAUGGCCGCAAAUUUAACAUGGACUUGGGAGCAACACAAAAAGUUUGCGAAUGCGGUGGCUAUUUAUGGCUUCGAUGAAACACCAGGUAUGUGGCGCUAUUUGAUUUGGGUCACUGGCAAGACCGAGGAAGAAGUAAAGCUGCACUAUGAAAAACUGAUGAGAGGUAUAAGAAACAUUGAGGCUGGUCUACUUCGUUUGCCUGAAAAUGAAGAUGUAAUUGAUGGUCUUAACAACAAUGGCAACAAUCGCCAGGAUUAUGAUUAAAGGCUGGAGGAUUUCAAUUUAAAUUAGAAGCAAGAAUGAAAGAGAAGAUAGAAAUUCAGUGCAACAAACAAAUAUAAAGAAGGAUAUUUAGUACUGAAAAUGCCUUUGUUUUCCAUACCAUUUAUUUGUAUUUAGUUUCUGGAUAUAUAUUUUUAUUAUAAGCAAAUUCUUGUUCCAAGUAUGUUGUUUGGAAGGUGGUUUACAAACAUUUAUGUUCAAAUUAAUGAAUUAGCAUUAUCUUAC